UUUUGACUUGUUAUAAUAAAAAUGAACAAUAGAGUUAAUAUUGUACCAAAUGCAUUUGCUUGUUAUAAUUUAUGUAGAAUAUAACGUUAAUUGGUCAUGUUUCAAGUAUAUUAGAAAAUUACCAUGAAGUGGUCCAAUCAAACACUGACACGUUUUAUUUCCACAUGUUUGCACAACUAACCAAACCAACAAGCACCCAUAUAUUCUGUUUCACG